CCCGCUCAGAAACUACAAGGAAUGACGGGGCCCGCACAAGCGGUGGAGCAUGUGGUUUAAUUCGAUGAUACGACGACGGAACCUUACCUGGGCUCAAAUGUAUGUUGACGUAUUCUGAAAGGGAUACUUCUUCGGACAAUAUACAAGGUGCUGCAUGGUUGUCGUCAGCUCGUGCCGUGAGGUGUCGGGUUAAGUCCCAUAACGAGCGCAACCCCUAUCAUUAGUUGCCAUCAGGUCAAGCUGGGGACUCUAAUGAAACUGCCUACGCAAGUAGUGAGGAAGGUGGGGAUGACGUCAAAUCAGCACGGCCCUUACGUCCAGGGCUACACACGUGCUACAAUGGCCGGUACAAAGGGCAGCUACCUGGUGACAGGAUGCUAAUCUCAAAAGCCGGUCUCAGUUCGGAUCGGAGUCUGCAACCCGACUCCGUGAAGCUGGAAUCGCGAGUAAUCGCGCAUCAGCCAUGGCGCGGUGAAUACGUUCCCGGGCCUU
rnacentral:rRNA from 1 species